UCCUAGCGGCGGACGGGUGAGUAACACGUGAGGAACCUGCCUUACACAGGGGAAUAACACCGUGAAACGGUGCUAAUACCGCAUAACACCGCACUAUGGCAUCAUAGAACGGUCAAAGGAGAAAUCCGGUGUAAGAUGGCCUCGCGCCCGAUUAGUUAGUUGGUGGGGUAAUGGCCUACCAAGACUGCGAUCGGUAGCCGGACUGAGAGGUCGAACGGCCACAUUGGAACUGAGAGACGGUCCAGACUCCUACGGGAGGCAGCAGUGGGGAAUAUUGGGCAAUGGGGGGAAAAACCCCCUGACCCAGCAACGCCGCGUGAAGGAAGAAGGCCUUCGGGUUGUAAACUUCUUUGAUCAGGGAAGAAACAAAUGACGGUACCUGAAAAACAAGCCACGGCUAACUACGUGCCAGCAGCCGC
rnacentral:rRNA from 1 species